GCGUCAUUAGCUCAAUUGGUAGAGCAAACGGCUCUUAACCGUUAGGUUAUAGGUUCGAUUCCUAUAUGACGCA
rnacentral:tRNA from 1 species